rnacentral:misc_RNA from 1 species
AAAGUCGUAACAAGGUUUCCGUAGGUGAACCUGCGGAAGGAUCAUUAAUAAUCAUCUCACUGAGAGAUAACUAUUACCCUUCAACAACCUGUGAACCAUUGAACACCAGGCUUUGCCUGGUCACCGCUCCUGCCUUGUGUCUCGGCACAGGGCGGGUUUAUGCGCGACCAGCAUUGCAUUUUAACAACACCUUUAAUCUUACACAUGUCAAGUCUGAUCAUAUAGUGUGAAAGCGUCUUGAUACCCUUCUGGGUGUCUCGGCUUUAGCAUGCUUGUCUUUUUAAGUAAAACAAGAACCUAAAACAACUUUUAACAAUGGAUCUCUUGGCUCCU